rnacentral:rRNA from 1 species
AUACGUAGGUGACAAGCGUUAUCCGGAUUUAUUGGGUUUAAAGGGUGCGUAGGCGGUUUGCUAAGCGGGAGGUGAAAUGCCGGCGCUCAACGUCGGAAGUGCCUCCCGAACUGGUGGACUUGAAUGACUCUGCCGUGGGAGGAAUGUGUAGUGUAGCGGUGAAAUGCUUAGAGAUUACACAGAACACCGAUUGCGAAGGCAUCUCACGAAGGGUUGAUUGACGCUGAGGCACGAAAGCGUGGGGAUCAAACAGGAUUAGAUACCCUGGUAGUCCACGCAGUAAACGAUGAUGGCUAACCGCUGGGCUUAUCAGUUCAGUGGCCAAGCGAAAGCGAUAAGCCAUCCACCUGGGGAGUACGACCGCAAGGUUGAAACUCAAAUGAAUUGACGGGG